UGGGGAAUAUUGCACAAUGGGCGCAAGCCUGAUGCAGCCAUGCCGCGUGUAUGAAGAAGGCCUUCGGGUUGUAAAGUACUUUCAGCGAGGAGGAAGGCGGUAAGGUUAAUAACCUUAUCGAUUGACGUUACUCGCAGAAGAAGCACCGGCUAACUCCGUGCCAGCAGCCGCGGUAAUACGGAGGGUGCAAGCGUUAAUCGGAAUUACUGGGCGUAAAGCGCACGCAGGCGGUCUGUCAAGUCGGAUGUGAAAUCCCCGGGCUCAACCUGGGAACUGCAUUCGAAACUGGCAGGCUAGAGGCUUGUAGAGGGGGGUAGAAUUCCAGGUGUAGCGGUGAAAUGCGUAGAGAUCUGGAGGAAUACCGGUGGCGAAGGCGGCCCCCUGGACAAAGACUGACGCUCAGGUGCGAAAGCGUGGGGAGCAAACA
rnacentral:rRNA from 1 species